AGGAGCUAUGGCUCAAAGAGUACUAGCCUUGAGCAAAAGAGCGCAGGGACAGCACCCAGGCCUGCAACCACCACCAACAAAAGUGGUCCUGGACCAAUGCACGACUUGUUUGGGAAUGGAAUGAUGGCCUUCCCUGGGGAUGUCAGCUUCUGCUCCUCAUCCUGGAAAUCUCAUUCAACAUCUCACCAUCAGUAUUCACUCCCUGCCCAGAGUCCAGGCUGAGUUUGUCCACAAAGGUCACCCAGUGCAGAUGGACUCUGGGGCCCCCAUGCUUGUAUUCCAAAGGGGCCCGUCACUUCUCGGGUGGGCAGAGUUCAUUCUUGGCUUAAUCAGUUACUGUUAAACCUAGAUUGUGUCACUAGGGCAGUUUCUGGAACAUUCAAACACAGCUUUAGGUUUAUUCCAUACAAACAGCCUUAGAAAUGCAAGCCACAACUGGACGUAUAUCAAAAUGCAUGAGUCACUUUUGCAGGUGUGCACUUGGGUAGGGGUGGGGGUCCAGCAGAGGGAACCCAGUGCGCUCUCUAGGGAACAAGCCUGUGCUUCCCCUCACCCUGACCUAGCUGUUCUCUGUGAACAUAGGAAGUUGUCCCUGGAUGCACAGAAUCAGUUGAUAGCAUGCAGAAUCUUGCCUGUCCCAGAGCAUGACCUUGAGCGAUUGCUAGGAAGACUGCAUUUGCAACUGCCUGAGUCCUUCGUGACAAAGCUCUUGAUCUUGGAAAGCCACACCCCAACUUCCACAACUUCACAACAUGCUAGUGGGAAGGAAAGGAGUGGUCUGAGCUUCCGCCAUGUUCCAUGCAGAGUGUGAUGGUGAAGAAGGUCCUCACACCCCACACCUACCUUCUAGAUCAUUCCUGUCUGCUCUUUCUGCAGAACGCGUUCCCACAGAGUGUUGCUCUUAGAGCUGGCUGUGCAUUGUACGCCUCGUGAUCACCCACAGAUAGGUGGAGGAGAAGAGCUAGGUAUAAUGGCAGAUGGAAAAAGCUCCUUGGAUGAACCCCUGGUCACCAGGGCAGGGGUUGGAAAAGCAGUGGUCCUGUUGAGGGGUUUCUUCUCCCUGUCAUUCCUGGGAGGAAGUAGCCAAGGAGCCCACAUCAGGAAGGAACAAGAAGUAAUAGCUGAUAAGUCCAGCCAUGGCAGGAAGUGAGGUUGGUAGUCAGGAGUGUGCUGUUCUCUGCUUGUAUGUCCCAUAAGAGGACAUUUUCCACAAGGAACCACCAACCCCCUGGGGUCUGCAUGGGGCCCACAUGGGGGGGUGGGGAAUGCUGAACAGAGGACAAGGCCCUUUUGAGGCCUUUGCUCUUUACCUGUCUGUCAAAGGGACGCUGCUCCGUGUGUCCCAGUGUAUGAAUGAGGACACAAGUAAGUGGCUUUUCAGUGAACAGGACGUGUUGCUAAUGGAUCAGAAUUACACCACAACAUGAAGCCUUGUGUCUAUUUCAAUGCUCUUAUUCCCAGUUCCAUCCACAAGCCUGGCCCAUACCAUCCUCCCAGGUCCACAGUGCCCUUGAAAAAUAGUUCCUGAUUCAACCGGACAGCCCCACUCAGCUGAGUGCUGGAGUUAGUAACUUGAUGGGGUUACCUGACAGGGUUGCUGAAGACUUGCUUUUUCCUUUCUUAUGCUUCAAUUAAUCAGGGCGUUUAAUCUUCAUAUUUAAAUCUUAAUGCUGUCUCUCUGAACUGUAAUAUAAUCCAGCAUGGUGGCUGACUGACACUAUGAAUUGAGGAAAAUUAAGUACCUCAGAAUUAUCUCAAACUAAUGAUAUAUUUAUGCAUUGUACGUUAUUUUGAGUUCCUAGACUGUUAAAGAGUUGUUUAAUAGGUUAAUAGUUUUAAUAUGUUAGUCUAAUCUUUUCUACUUGACUGUGUAUUAAAAUACAUCAGUGAUAUGUGACAGCAUUGGAAGAACAGACAGUAUGGAAGGUUUUUAAGGGACAGUGAUGAUGUGAAGAUUGCAAACUUGAGCAGAGUGUAAGCACUGACUCUGGGCUCAUUCACUGCUGCCCUGGCCUGUGGUCCCACUCCAGGUUCUUUCUCUACCUUUCUAGGCUAGCUGCACAGAUGCUACCCAGAAAGGUAGCAUUAUGAGUUCCAUCCACAGGCAAAAAGACUAUCACAACAAGCAGCCACUUGAGCACACUUGAGAUAGGAGGGGUUAAUGGCAGGCACAAAGCCCAAGCAUUCUGGUCUGUGGGGGAGAUGAGGUCCUCCAUUCUCAACUCUACCCGUCCCACCCCUGUGUGACUAUUUGAAGGGACUAGCAAAUACCCAAUCCUGUCGGGGUAUUACCUGUGGGUAAUACAGUCUCUGUAUCUUGGGGCUCCUGAUGUUAGCCAUGAAUGUGUUUGUUUGUUCAACAGGUAUUUUUUGCUAUUAUUUCUUCUUUGGUGAAGAGGAACAAGAACUAAGGUAGAACCCCAGGGCAAGCACAAGCUAAAGUGAGAAAGGAUGGAAGGUAGAGGGGGCUCUCUUAAAGACUGUGGAUGGAGGAUACAUUGGCUGGAGCCUGGGAAGGGACCAUUACAUUGGACAGCACUGUGGUCACAGGGACUUCAGAAGAGCAAUUCUGGUAAUGUAGUGGAGCCAAUAGCCUCAUCAGGCUUCAUGUGGCCACAGAAGGUUGUACCGACACUCGCCAGUGGGUGGCAGUAGUAGGCAGUCGGCACUUGUUGGUGGGUGGGCAGAUGAGUAGAGAGGCAGAGGACUUAAUUAGGUCCUGGUGCACGCCCGCUAUAGUCAAGCCAGAAUGUGCACCUGUUGGCUUCACCGGCCCUGCAUCCAUGCAUUUGUGGAAGUGUUUUCAAGCUCAGCUGGCUAGCCAACUCUCCUUCUAAAGAGGGAACCGUU